UGUCAUUGGCUUAUUAAGUAACUUCUCUGUAGCAUUGCUGUGACGUCUGUGUUUUGAAGUAGAUCUGUGACGUCAAUUCUCUUGUAAUUCAUAUUUCUAGUUCAGAAAGUUGCAUGCGAAGCAACAGCUAUAAUAACAGGCCAUGUUGUGGCCUUGCCACUGACAAUCCCCCCUGUUGCUAGGCAACACCCUUUGUGAAACUGUCCUGUCCUGUCAUUGGUGCAUGUUGUUUGUGGACUACCUAGAGCACAUCUACCCCCUGAUAUAUGGGGUUCUGCUUUAAACACCUCAAUUAAUGGUUCAGUUUACUUUAAUACUUAAUUCACUCUGCGUUAACAACCUUUAACAAACCUUAAUUAGUCACAAAACAGGAAUAAUGUGAUGAUGGUAUGUUUUAUCAAAUCAGCUAGCAUAGAGACUGAGGUCUUCUGUUGGCUGAUGUGGUUUCUUCUAUUGGCUGUAGGAAUGAGCGGGUCGUUUAGCAAGAGAGAACCUCUUACUAAGACACAAGAUCUCCGUGCUGAAAGAAGAGGACCGGAGAGAGACCCGGGAGGAGACGCUAUCUCUGAGCUGCGUCUCCGCAGUCAGCAGCUGGAGGAUGAGAACGGGGUGCUGUCGGAGAAGAACGCCCAGAAUGCAGCAGGAGUGGAGGGGUUGAGCCAACAGCUGGGGGAACUGCUCAGACAGAGUGAGAGACAGGAGGCUGUCAGAGACCAGCAGCACAAUGAACCAGAGGACAACAGCACCAAGAUGGCAGUGUUUGCGUCUGCCCUGGAGGCGGAGCUAACCAAUGCUGUGGAAGGGACUGUACUACUAGCGGAGGGCAAGCCCAGCUGGUUCUACAACUCACCACCUCGCGAUUAAGUUGAGGACAUUGAGCAGACAAACAUCUGGUUUUGACU
rnacentral:lncRNA from 1 species